GAUCAUGGCUCAGGACGAACGCUGGCGGCGUGCCUAAUACAUGCAAGUAGAACGCUGAAGAGAGGAGCUUGCUCUUCUUGGAUGAGUUGCGAACGGGUGAGUAACGCGUAGGUAACCUGCCUUGUAGCGGGGGAUAACUAUUGGAAACGAUAGCUAAUACCGCAUAACAAUGGGUGACACAUGUCAUUUAUUUGAAAGGGGCAAUUGCUCCACUACAAGAUGGACCUGCGUUG
rnacentral:rRNA from 1 species